UUUACAUAUCAUGGUUCGACGUUUAUUUCAAAUUGAGCUAUGGAGGUGAACCUGAUCUGUUACCAGAAGAUUUUUGGUAUAUCAAACUGAGCUGGGAGCAACAUUUCCAUCAGCAGAUAGAUUGAAAGAACACACAAAAAGCUUGAGGUAACCAUCUUCAGACAGUGAGAAGGGGGGCCAAAUCAGGUUAUAUGGUAGUAGAUAUUAGGCAUUUCAAAUUUCAACCCAUUAAGAAGGGAAGGAAAUGCUAUGUGCAGUCUG